AUACCGGCUGCUCGAGUGAUGGCCACUAUUACUGGGUUUAAAGCGUCCGUAGCUUGACUGUUAGGUCUCUUGGGAAAUCUUUUGGCUUAACCAAAAGGCGUCUAAGAGAUACCGGCAUUCUUGGAACUGGGAGAGGUAAGCCGUACUUCGGGGGUACGAGUGAAAUCUUGUAAUCCUCGAGGGACGACCUAUGGCGAAGGCAGCUUACCAGAACAGCUUCGACAGGGAGGGACGAAAGCUGGGGGAGCAAACGGGAUUAGAUACCCCGGUAGUCCCAGCCGUAAACAAUGUGCGUUAGGUGUGUCGGUUACCACGCGUAACUGAUGCGCCGAAGAGAAAUCGUGAAACGCACCGCCUGGGAAGUACGGUCGCAAGGCUGAAACUUAAAGGAAUUGGCGGGG
rnacentral:rRNA from 1 species